GACGAACGCUGGCGGCGUGCUUAACACAUGCAAGUCGAACGGAAAGGCCCUGCUUUUGUGGGGUGCUCGAGUGGCGAACGGGUGAGUAACACGUGAGUAACCUGCCCUUGACUUUGGGAUAACUUCAGGAAACUGGGGCUAAUACCGGAUAGGAGCUCCUGCUGCAUGGGGGGGGUGGGAAAGGUUCGGCGGUUGGGGAUGGACUCGCGGCUUAUCAGCUUGUUGGUGGGGUAGUGGCUUACCAAGGCUUUGACGGGUAGCCGGCCUGAGAGGGUGACCGGCCACAUUGGGACUGAGAUACGGCCCAGACUCCUAGGGGAGGCAGCAGUGGGGAAUAUUGCACAAUGGGCGGAAGCCUGAUGCAGCAACGCCGCGUGCGGGAUGACGGCCUUCGGGUUGUAAACCGCUUUCGCCUGUGACGAAGCGUGAGUGACGGUAAUGGGUAAAGAAGCACCGGCUAACUACGUG
rnacentral:rRNA from 1 species